AAAUGCAGAUUCAGAAGCGUUAGUUAACCAGGGAGAUGAUCGUGUGCCUGUGAGUAGCGAGAACUCUGUGGUUUCCUCGCUCUCUCUCCAGGUUAGCGCCGGUGGCAAAGUUGGAGAGGCAGAGGAAGGAGGUGAACCGAAUGUUGCUGCUCAUGAGUUGCAAGCAAAUGAAGAUGCAAAAGAGGGGUACGGCGAGCACGAAUCGAUGACUAAACGGCCCAAUCCGUCCUCGUCCAUCUGAUCCGCGUCGCAGCUAACUGACGGACUUAUCUAAUCCGUGGGCCACAUGCUAUUUCGGGAAAUAAGAACGAGGAGCACAUAUCUGUUGCUAUACAGUCUGCGGCAUAGAUCCCGAGAUGAAUAAAUGGUACUGAUUCCGAGCUCCUGUGAGCUCGAGCUCACAUAGGCAUUUUCUUGAAUCUACUUAUUCUCGGUGCAGUGGAUGUGGAAAAAUUGUGAAGACAUGUAAUUUCCGGUCUGAAGAAAGACAUGUUGAUGCUUGGAUGUUGGACGUGUUCUGAUGGUUUGAUUGAUGUUUGCUGAAUGCUUGUUGAUGCCGUUGGUUGUGAGAACUGAAUUCUGCGUCGAGCUGUUCCUUCGGAGUGAAAUGGCAGAGUUGCCUCCAGGUAUCUAAGGUAA